AACGAGAGAUGCAGUAUCACUGAAGAGAGGACAAAUGAGAGGAGAGGAGAGAUUGAGUAUUUUUAGAGCAACUGUACUUUGGGGUGGAGCUUGUAGCGAAACUAAGCAGGAACGAUCAACAGAAAACAUUUGCAGAUUCAUUUGGUUUGGAGUUUUCAGGUUCUGUUGUGCUAUUAGUCAGUUUGACAUCCAACCAUAGCCAUGUUGUUCAUCUGGUCAAUUAUUACGUUCUCAGUAAUAGGUGGCAGUUAUGAGCAGACUAUAGAGCCAAACCAACAUGAAGUGUAUGCAGAAGUGGGUAGUAAUGUUCUUCUUUCCUGCAACUACUCCUCAGCAGAAAGUCUACUAUGGUAUAAACAGUCUCCAGGAUCAGCUCCCCAAUACCUUCUGCUCAUCCCACACUACAGUGGGGCUGGACAGAGAGCUGAUUCUCUUGACUCUCGCUUCUCUGGUAAACUGAACAAAGAGAAGACCCGUGUGGAUCUGGAGAUCUCCUCUGCUGAAGAGACAGACUCUGCUAUGUACUACUGUGCUCUGAAGCCCACAGUGACAGGAAACCCAGAAACACUGUACAAAAACUUAACAUCGCCUGAGAGAGUUUCUACACUGUAGUUACAGGUUUCAUUUGACAAUAGCGCCAUCAAGUGGAGUCAAUAUGCAGCCAUUAUAUUGUGUCAAGAGGAGGAACUUAGUUUUACAAAUCAUGUGUCAUGAGAGGAACUGAGUGAAUGUUCCAAGAGAAGAUCAUUUAACAGAGAAGUCUCUGUCUCACACCCAGUCGCUAUGAUGCUGCUCUUUUCAGUCUUGUUUUUGUGCACUUAUAUGUAAGAAUUCCCUGUCAUUAACUGAAUGUGUACAAACAGAAUGUACAAUGUUCAGCAUUCAUUACAAUAUGGUAUUAUGAAUAUCAAGAGGUAAAACACUUUGAAACACCAAGUGUGUAUAUAUUGUACGCUGUCUAAAUUUACUCAGUGAUCCAAAUUUUAUUUUUUACAGGACAUAAUUUCUCCAGAUUUAGUGGAUGUUAUGGAGGGUAGUAGUGUUAAACUCUCCUGUAGAUACAACAGCUCAUUAACCAACAGUCUGUUAUGGUACCUCCAGCAACCUGGAUCCUCUCUACAGUUCCUCAUUCUGGACUUCUCUGGGAUCAUAACCAACACUGAUAGUACAAAAUGGACCCUCACACAUGAAGAAGAGGAAAACCGUGUGGAUCUGGAGAUCUCCUCUGCUGAAGUGACAGACUCUGCUCUGUAAUACUGUACACUGAAGCCCACAGUGACAGGAAACCCAGAUACACAGUAAAAAAACUGAUCUUGACCAGUGGUGUAAAGGAAUUAAGUUAAAAUACUGUAAAGUACUACUUAAU